CACGUCGGCUUGGAAAAUCAUAUAUUCAGAGAGCUUGUCGCCGUGUCACUGUUGUUAAGUUAAACUUGACUUCUGCGUGGGGUUUCUUCAAAUUUCCAUCUGGCGAGGGUCUCUUUCCCCCGACUAUUCCAUUUCAUCUUCUCCAGUGUCUGAUUUUUUUUCCUCAGUUACUUUCUCAAUCAAUAAUGAUCUUAAAGCUAUUCUUGAAUGUUUUGUUUCACCUUUCCUCGAUAUUUCUUCUAUAUAAAGCUAUAUCUCUUAACCUAAAUUCAUCCUAAAUAAAAAAACUUUCUCUGAAGAAGAUACAUCCAUGGCCAUGAAAUACCACCGCAAAAUUUCAGCUCUCCACCUACAAAUCUACAGUCGUUGUCUACUUCUGCUGAAACCACCCCCCAAGAGAGAAGCUAAGGCACAUGAGGUUUACCAGAAUUCGCUGAGGACAGAGGCAGAAGCUCGUGUGGUCAAUGGAACUGGAGCUGAGCUUGAUCAGAUAAGGUCGGAUGUCUAGAGGCUAGCUGAAGAUAGACAGAAGCCAUCGGCGACCACAACUGUUCUUAACGGCGAGAUAGCCAAGGCUACAGCUAAAUCGGACUGAGCCAUGGAGAUUAAGGCGGACUCUUCGAGAAGAAGUUAGCAAAGGAAGGUGAAAACUGAAUAUACCUUUGUUGUGGAGUUGACAAUUUUGGACGAAUAAUGAGAUUCUUGGGUUUGGUUUUGAAACAUGGCUUCUCUUGAGCUUGAGAGAAGACAUGAGCGACCAUGAACGCGGUAUGGAGAAGACCACUGAUCACUUACAUCGUCAAACUGUGAACUCCAAGAACAAUUAUCUGGCGUGGAGAUCAAAGCUAGGGCAGCAAUUGCAGCUGUUGAGGCAGCUCAAAACCCAAGCAAUCUUAAGGUUGAAAACUCAGAUGAUGCUUAUUGCUUACGCAAGCCAAGGCCACCAACCCCCUGAAGCUAACGGUUCUCACCAGUUUCUCUAUAACACUGCAACAUACACGAAUCCAUAGAACAUAAACUCAUUGCAUACAUCCACUGCAUCAAACGCGAGUUACGAUAUGUCCUUAAACUUGGGAUCUAUAUGAUUCAUUUAGUUUGUUUACAAGAGACGAUUUCAGUUACUAACAUUUUUAUAUGUGUGCAGGUAUAUGUAAAUUAUGAACUAAUGUUACCUGGGAAGUUUGUGCUAUAUAGAGAAGAUGAUAUUUUGUCACUCUGGUGGAAAGAGUAUGCAGAUUGCAGCCAAGGCUCUCUAGCACAAGUCGUUCCUAAAAAUAAAUUGAAUAAACAGUUAAUUGAUACUCAUUUAGAAACUUUUGUGUCAUCUACUGUAUAUGAAGUUGAAGAGGAGAGAGUUGGUGUACCUGUUAAGGGUGGGCUAAAUGAGGAACCAUAAUACUGUUGGUGGACUUGGUGAGUAGGCAUUGUUUCCUAUAUACUGGAAUGGAGAUAAUCGGCCUGUGCUUAGAGUCCAAAAACUAUUACAGAACACUUGGAGCUUCCAUAUCAUAACAAGGUCUGGCGCAGCAGAAGGUUUGAACCCUAUGGGUUUCUUGCAUCUCAUGUUGAUUUGCAGGUUCCAGGAAUGUGUGCGAGUUAUCAUUUAUGUGUCAAAAAUUGUAAAUUUCUUUUCAGAUGAAUGAUUGCAUAGAAAAUAUUGUCCUAAGUUGUUAAUGUAGAUACUUCAGUCUCUCUUUACCGGGGAGGAUGAUACUUGGAAAUCUUGGCUUAAAGCGGUUAUGCCUGCUGUUCUAAACCUACAAUGGUUCUCAAAAUAUUCUGGAAUUAAGUCUCACAUUUCUUUUUUUAUCUAAAGUCUACCAGGGAUUGUGUUUUGAAUCAUAUUUCUUUUGCUUCUAUUCACGAGAACUAGGCCAAGAACUGCAGAGCUCAAAUCAAGGAUCUGCAGAGGCGCCAAAUUGUAAAUUGAAAUGUAAUCUUUUCUUUUCUUUUUUUUUUUUAGUAUAUCAGUUUGGUCUUUGAUGUUUAAAUCCAUGUAAGUUCUCUAUAUUUUCAUGAUAAUCCAGAAAUUCCACUUGGU